rnacentral:piRNA from 1 species
GAGUUAAGCUUACUCUAAGAAUUCUC